UACGUAGGGCGCAAGCGUUAUCCGGAAUUAUUGGGCGUAAAGAGCUCGUAGGCGGUUUGUCGCGUCUGCUGUGAAAACUGGAGGCUCAACCUCCAGCCUGCAGUGGGUACGGGCAAACUAGAGUGCGGUAGGGGAGGAUUGGAAUUCCUGGUGUAGCGGUGGAAUGCGCAGAUAUCAGGAGGAACACCGAUGGCGAAGGCA
rnacentral:rRNA from 1 species